CUUCAUAUGAUUUACCCUUAAGAACCGAAGAAAGAUCUUACAUUUUGUAAUCAGUUUGGAGCCCAUAAGCAGCCCUCUAGUACAACCUACCUUUGGAAAUCAGUGCUCCACAAUCUUAAACACUGUUAGCAGAGUAAAACAAAAGCAGAGUGAACAUCUUAGGCUCCAGAGAAUAGACUAAGGUAAAGUUCUACUUCUUAGAACUGUUAACCACUUUUAUAGCAUCACAUACCUCCUUCUCGCUGACUCUUACAACAACCCUGUACAGAAGCACCGCUCUGGAUCUGAACAAGGUCAGGUGGCCAAGACAACCAGGACCAGCGCUCAAGUUAAGUUGUACCACACCAAGAUCAAAGGAAGCUAUUAAUCUAGUACAUGAAAAUUUCAGAAACAAAUGGAUUCCAUUCUUCCUCCAACUCUGUUUCCUUCUGCCUUGACCUUUCCAGCCCAGCCUACUCCCUAGGUCUUUCAGGGGCAUACAUGAGACUCUGAAAUGUGAAGAGAGCCCUAUUUUUCAGUUAAAUAAAGCUUUUUGGAAGCUGCUA